rnacentral:rRNA from 2 species
AAAUUGAAGAGUUUGAUCAUGGCUCAGAUUGAACGCUGGCGGCAGGCCUAACACAUGCAAGUCGAGCGGUAGCACAGAAGAGCUUGCUCUUCGGGUGACGAGCGGCGGACGGGUGAGUAAUGUCUGGGAAACUGCCUGAUGGAGGGGGAUAACUACUGGAAACGGUAGCUAAUACCGCAUAACGUCUUCGGACCAAAGAGGGGGACCUUCGGGCCUCUUGCCAUCGGAUGUGCCCAGAUGGGAUUAGCUAGUAGGUGAGGUAAUGGCUCACCUAGGCGACGAUCCCUAGCUGGUCUGAGAGGAUGACCAGCCACACUGGAACUGAGACACGGUCCAGACUCCUACGGGAGGCAGCAGUGGGGAAUAUUGCACAAUGGGCGCAAGCCUGAUGCAGCCAUGCCGCGUGUGUGAAGAAGGCCUUCGGGUUGUAAAGCACUUUCAGCGGGGAGGAAGGCGAUAAGGUUAAUAACCUUGUCGAUUGACGUUACCCGCAGAAGAAGCACCGGCUAACUCCGUGCCAGCAGCCGCGGUAAUACGGAGGGUGCAAGCGUUAAUCGGAAUGACUGGGCGUAAAGCGCACGCAGGCGGUCUGUUAAGUUGGAUGUGAAAUCCCCGGGCUUAACCUGGGAACUGCAUUCAAAACUGACAGGCUAGAGUCUUGUAGAGGGGGGUAGAAUUCCAGGUGUAGCGGUGAAAUGCGUAGAGAUCUGGAGGAAUACCGGUGGCGAAGGCGGCCCCCUGGACAAAGACUGACGCUCAGGUGCGAAAGCGUGGGGAGCAAACAGGAUUAGAUACCCUGGUAGUCCACGCUGUAAACGAUGUCGACUUGGAGGUUGUGCCCUUGAGGCGUGGCUUCCGGAGCUAACGCGUUAAGUCGACCGCCUGGGGAGUACGGCCGCAAGGUUAAAACUCAAAUGAAUUGACGGGGGCCCGCACAAGCGGUGGAGCAUGUGGUUUAAUUCGAUGCAACGCGAAGAACCUUACCUACUCUUGACAUCCACAGAAUUUGGUAGAGAUACCUUAGUGCCUUCGGGAACUGUGAGACAGGUGCUGCAUGGCUGUCGUCAGCUCGUGUUGUGAAAUGUUGGGUUAAGUCCCGCAACGAGCGCAACCCUUAUCCUUUGUUGCCAGCGAGUAAUGUCGGGAACUCAAAGGAGACUGCCGGUGAUAAACCGGAGGAAGGUGGGGAUGACGUCAAGUCAUCAUGGCCCUUACGAGUAGGGCUACACACGUGCUACAAUGGCGUAUACAAAGAGAAGCGAUCUCGCGAGAGCAAGCGGACCUCAUAAAGUACGUCGUAGUCCGGAUUGGAGUCUGCAACUCGACUCCAUGAAGUCGGAAUCGCUAGUAAUCGUAGAUCAGAAUGCUACGGUGAAUACGUUCCCGGGCCUUGUACACACCGCCCGUCACACCAUGGGAGUGGGUUGCAAAAGAAGUAGGUAGCUUAACCUUCGGGAGGGCGCUUACCACUUUGUGAUUCAUGACUGGGGUGAAGUCGUAACAAGGUAACCGUAGGGGAACCUGCGGUUGGAUCACCUCCUUA